GGGGUUGUGGCUCAGUGGUAGAGUACUCGCCUAGCACGUGGGAGGCUCAGGGUUCAAUCCUCAGCACCACA
rnacentral:tRNA from 1 species